AGCAUUUCAGAGAAAGCCAGUGAGAUUAAAAGGCCACCACACUCCUGCUGUCAUGAGGAUGAUACUUUGUCACCAUAUUCUCUCUCGUGGUGGAAAGUGCUCUGCAAUUCUUUGAGCCUCUGCCUGCCAGCUCUCAGCUCUGGUCACUGUUUGCAGCUGGUGCAGAAGAGAAGAUGCCAUCUUAAUUCAGUGUGGGUGUUGCCUUGUCAUUGCAACAUUGAGCCCCCGGCCAGACUUUUCUACAGGACAGUGCCUGGGAAAGUUGUUUCUCUCUGUGGCUGGAGAGCUGCUGCCACAUUGCCUCAAGCUUUCUGUGUAAUGCUGGCCAUUUACUCUGAAAAUCAAACUCUACUGUCAUUCUACUUGCGUGGUUGUUGAGCAGGUCUCCAUGAGAUGCAGCUGUCCUGUAAGAAGUGCCCUCAGACAGUGUGGCAAAGCUCACACAGACUAUCUCAGGAUGAGAGAUGGGGUGAUAUCACCAUGAAUAUGCCUGUUGUUGGUUAGACUGACAAUCUCUCUCCCUUUUUCAUAAUUUUUUUUUUUUAAAUUUAAGUACUGGUUUAAUACCCUUGAUAAUUCCAGUAUUGAAAAUGUUUCUGGGACAAGCCAUGCUACUACUGUGCUCUAAGGGCAGGACCACUGCUGGAGAAAGUGACCUCUUUCCAGUUUAGAAGCUUCAUGACAUUCUAGAGGGAAUGAAGGGGUAAAAAGAGAUGCUCCAACUGACUUGCUUUCAGUGCCUGCCAGUAUGUGUAAGUGGCAGUGCAGGCCCUCUGUAUUUGCUAUAUUCACACAUUCACUAGAAUUGCUCUUUCUAUGUGACUCAGGAAGUGUUAUUUUAAUUAAAAUAUGUUGGUGAUUAUUGAGGUGUAAAAUCUGACCAUCAAAAUGGAAGGAUUAUUUCCUUUUCAUUUACCUUGUGUGGGCUUGAGGACAUCUGAAACCUUAAGGGCUACAUUUUGAUUGCUGUCUAUUUUAAAAGGGAACUUGCAGGCUUGCACUUCAGUAAAAAUGACCCAGUUGUGCAUUUUCCUUUCAAAACCAGCAGAACCACAGCUGCUCUAAGCCUGUGUGAAGCACAUUCCUUCUUGUCUCUUAGCUCGUCUCCUAGCAGCUGGCUUGUGGGUGUGUGUAUAUUUAAAAAAAAAAUCACUUAAAUGUGAAAAAAAGCAGAUUGAUUUUGUUAAAGCAAAAGAAUUCUUUAUCAAUUUUUUUUCUCGCUGUCCCCUAACUGUAACAGGUGUGUAGAGGUGAGAAAGACCCAUCCCUGCCAUCACAGCAGGAUGUUGGGAUAGCUCCAUGGAAGAUCCUGUAUGCAUGCCAAGGCAUUGUGUAGUCUACCAGCUUGUGAAAAUUCAGUAGUGAAAUCUCUGCUAUCACAUCGCUCCCAGUGAGAAAGGCAGCCCCCAGUUACAGUACAAAAGUAUAUUAACUGGGUACUGAGAUGUGGGUAGAUUUUUUUACCUCUUUGAGUUCCUCUCAGCACUUACUAGAUAUGAGAAAAUCUGUGCAGUAGUUUACAUCGAUCUUCCUGUAAAAUUGCAUUGUUUUAUUUUUCAGGCAGUUUCCAGUCUCCCCCAAUUAAACCAGCACUUUUGAUGUGCUACGUGUCUUGCUUAAGAGAUGAGGGUUUUUCUUAUUUGAUUCAUGUAAUUUCAUUUUGGCUUUGAAUUUUUAAACAAGUGUAAUAAAUUGUGACAAAGUGCAGUGUUCACUCAA